AAGUCGUAACAAGGUUUCCGUAGGUGAACCUGCGGAAGGAUCAUUACAAUACGUUUCAUACGUACAAACCAAACGUUGAACUGAAAUGCGUCCGAUAGGAAAUGGGUUCAUGGGCCGGCGGCUUUGAGGUGGAUACACCAAAACAAUCAAAUACCCGCAAGGGUUUUGAAGGUGAUCAAAAGUGCCUCGGUCGGUUCUUUUCCCUUUUGUGUAGUUUCGCACUCGCAAAACGGAAAGCCCUUUCCUAGUUCGCGUAUUUAUCCAAUCAAUCACUUUUGGUUGCCUUUUUUUCCAUUUUUUAACCCCAUUCACCUUUUCUAAUUUAAAACUUUGAACUGAUUUCGAGCUCUAAACCAGCUCGAUCAUUUUUACGAAACGUAAGAACAACUCUUAACAACGGAUAUCUUGGCUCUC
rnacentral:misc_RNA from 1 species